ACUCCUACGGGAGGCAGCAGUGGGGAAUUUUCCGCAAUGGGCGAAAGCCUGACGGAGCAACGCCGCGUGAGGGAUGAAGGCCUCUGGGCUGUAAACCUCUUUUCUCAAGGAAGAAGAACUGACGGUACUUGAGGAAUAAGCCACGGCUAAUUCCGUGCCAGCAGCCGCGGUAAUAC
rnacentral:rRNA from 1 species